AACGAACGCUGGCGGCAUGCCUAACACAUGCAAGUCGAACGAGACCUUCGGGUCUAGUGGCGCACGGGUGCGUAACGCGUGGGAAUCUGCCCUUGGGUUCGGAAUAACUCGCCGAAAGGCGUGCUAAUACCGGAUAAUGUCGCAAGACCAAAGAUUUAUUGCCCAAGGAUGAGCCCGCGUAGGAUUAGCUAGUCGGUGAGGUAAAAGCUCACCAAGGCGACGAUCCUUAGCUGGUCUGAGAGGAUGAUCAGCCACACUGGGACUGAGACACGGCCCAGACUCCUACGGGAGGCAGCAGUGGGGAAUAUUGGACAAUGGGCGAAAGCCUGAUCCAGCAAUGCCGCGUGAGUGAUGAAGGCCUUAGGGUUGUAAAGCUCUUUUACCCGGGAUGAUAAUGACAGUACCGGGAGAAUAAGCCCCGGCUAACUCCGUGCCAGCAGCCGCCGUAAUAC
rnacentral:rRNA from 1 species